UUUGCAAUCUGUCCUGUUUUGAAGCUGUUCGUCAGCAGCAGAAUCUCACUCAUACAGCCCGUAACAGCCUUACUCACCUCUAUCUCUCACCAUCUCACUUUCUCUCUCUACAUCUCCGUCUGCAGGACAUAAUUCUCUCUGUAAAACACUCUCUCUUACACUUUACAACACUUGUUCUCUCAUUUUGCGACUCUCUCUCUCUCUAAAUCGACUGUGUCUAAAAUAUACCCUACUCCUCUAUCUCUCUAUAUAUACACGCACACACAUAUGCACAACUCACUUCACUUUCUCUCUCUACAACUAAAGGCACCGUCUCUUUGUACGUCUGGGGCAUCUUCUAUCGUUUUCGGAGAAAAAGCCCUCGUGAAGUCCAUGUGAAAGUUAACAGAGAUCUGGGAUUUAAUGAGGGUAACGGGUCACUUGCCUCUGUUUCAGGUGAAUCGAGUGUUCUCUAACCUCUUUUUCUUCUUUAUGCUAUCUUUUCCCCUCUUUUGACUCUUACGAUUUCAUGUUCACACUUUAUCUCCACCUUAGAUUUUCUUUGCCAUUUUGUCAUAAACGGUGAUCUUUUAGGUCUACAUAGCAAAAGAGAAACUUUGAUUGGGUCGGUGAUUCAAAAAGAUAGUGUACUUACUCUGCUCUUCUUGUGUUCUGUGAUAUGCGUGUAUGAGUUUUGGUUAUUCUUUAGUUCAUUGAAGCUCAGAUGUUGCUGACGUUGCUGCUUCUGAAGUAGCAUUUGGGUUUGGAGCUUUUUAAAGCUUGAAUUUGUAUGUCAUGCCAUGAGUUUUAUAUGUUGCUGUGUAUCUGCUGGUGGGUCAUUGAUUUUUCUCGAAGGGUUGGUACUUGGGGUGUUUCGGGGAAGUCGCCACUGGACUUGAGAUUAUUGUUGUUGCAUGUCAAUUUUAAUGCUUUGAUUACGGAUUUGUAAUGGGGGAUUUUUGAUAGCUUGGAGUGGGCAUCAAUGUUGGAUUUGGGACUUCAUAAUUUAGAAGAUUUCCAACAGUUACAAAUCCAGAAAAUGCAGCAUAAUAUAUCUUGCCUUGAUGCUCCAAAAUUUCCCCUAUUGGACACAUUUAUGCUCUGAUCAUGACCAGGGCUGUCCGUGACCGGAUACUAAAAGAUGCAAAUGGUAGUAUUAGCGAUCAUCUACGAAACCAUAUCCAUUUGACGAAUUGUAUUCACCUGAAGAACCAUAUGCAUAAACAUAGCCCCAUAUUGGCUGCCGAUAGGUCGCUUGUGAGGGAUCUUGUUGUCCUUCAGAGGUCACGAUCUCUCAGGGAUCCUUCUACAAGUCCGCCAUCAUGGCAUUCUCCUUCAGUUGUUGAUCUACUUUCUAAAUUAGGUGAAAAUGAUGUCACAGUGCCUACUGGAAGAAGGUCUGUGGGCAUUGAACGCCAGAGGAAUGGUAGAAGGUUGUCUGGUAGCUCACCACCCUUAGCUAAUCAACCUAUAACAAAGGUUGCUGCCAGGGAGGUGAUCAGGCAUAAUGAUAGGGUAGCUGCAGUGAGUGAGCAUAGUAGCAAGAGCGGCAUUCAGCAACGCAGAAGAAUUAAGGGAGAAGAAUCGAGUGGAAAGAAUUUGGGGAAUGGCCCUAUGGGUGGCAAUGAUAAGCCUCUACAAGAUGGUAAUGAUUUAGUUGAUGAUAUUGCUUUGGGAAACACUGAACAAAAGGCUAAGAAAACGAAACAAAAGGGGAAGCAUAGAGAAGAUGUUCUCUUGAAGACCCUCUCUGAGCAAUUGAAUGAGGUUCGAACUAAUAGUGAUGAUGUAGCAUCAUCUUACAUCCAUCUUCAUGGAAAACAUACCCAGAAUGAGUUAACCCACGAGGAAGCAGAAGCCAGUAUCCACGGCUACUGCAGUGGACUGAGUAGGAUAAAAAGGCGCAAGUUCCGAGGUGCGAGAAGAACUCGAGCUGCUGUAACUUCCAGACAUUCUUUGGCUCAAAAUGAAAUGUCCGUGGCCUCUAAUUCAUUUGCUCAAGGUUCAGCUCGCCCAAAGUAUCACAUGAAGGAGGAAGAAGAUGAGUAUGCUGAUCAGAACAUCAUGAGAGCUCCCAGAAAUGAGUGCAUUCCUUGGAACUGGUCAAGAAUUCAUCAUAGGGGGAAAACAUUUCUUGACAUGGCUGGAAGGAGUUUUUCUUGUGGUUUGUCCGACUCAAAAUUAAAAAGAGGGGGUCCUCUUCCUCGAGGAAGAGAUAUUUCGGAUAUGUCUAUGAUGUCUGACCAAUCAAGCUCGUCUACUAAAUCUGAUGCAGAAGCACAGCCUCUACUAGUUGAGGCAUCUGGAUCUCAUGGUAGCACUGAAAAUGCUGGUUGGGUGCAUGACUAUUCUGGGGAGUUAGGCAUUUUUGCUGAUAAUCUAUUAAAGCAUGAAAUUGACUCUGAUCUUGCUUCGGAAGCUAGAUCUGGUGAUCGUCCCAAGUUUAGAGGGCGUCGCGAUGGGAGUCACCAGAACCUGACGCAGAAAUACAUGCCAAGAACCUUCAGAGAUCUGGUGGGGCAGAAUUUGGUUACACAGGCUCUUUCGAAUGCUGUUGUGAAAAGGAAGGUUGGGUUACUAUAUGUGUUCUAUGGGCCUCAUGGCACUGGUAAAACCUCUUGUGCUCGUAUAUUUGCUAGAGCUUUAAAUUGCCAGUCUCCGGAUCAUCCUAAACCUUGUGGGUUUUGUAAUUCUUGCGUUGCGCAUGACAUGGGUAAGAGUCGAAAUAUAAGGGAAGUAGGUCCAGUCAGUAAUUUUGACUUUGAAAGCAUUAUGGAUCUGAUUGACAAUAUGAUUGUUAGCCGUUUGCCAUCACAGUACAGAGUGUUUAUUUUCGAUGAUUGUGAUACUCUAUCUCCUGACUGCUGGAGUGCUUUGUCAAAGGUCUUUGAUCGAGCACCCAGGCGUGUGGUAUUUGUCCUUGUCAGUUCAAAUCUUGAUGUUCUACCUCAUGUAAUCAUUUCCAGGUGCCAAAAGUUCUUCUUCCCUAAAUUGAAAGAUGCAGAUAUUAUCUACACUUUGCAGUGGAUCGCGACCAAAGAAGAUCUAGAAAUUGAGAAGGAUGCAUUAAAACUAAUUGCAUCCAGAUCAGAUGGAUCUUUAAGGGAUGCUGAGAUGACUCUUGAACAGUUGAGCUUGCUUGGGCAGAGAAUCUCUGUUCCUCUGGUUCAGGAACUGGUUGGGCUUAUCUCUGACGAGAAGUUGGUGGAUCUACUUGAUUUAGCAUUAUCUGCUGACACAGUUAACACUGUGAAGAAUUUGAGAGAAAUCAUGGAAUCUGGUGUUGAGCCAUUAGCUUUGAUGUCUCAACUUGCUACAGUAAUAACUGAUAUUCUUGCUGGUAGCUAUGAUUUAACAAAAGAAAGGCCUAGAAGGAAGUUCUUUCGACAACAAGGAUUAUCGAAAGAAGAUAUGGAAAAACUGCGUCAAGCUUUGAAAACAUUAUCUGAAGCUGAAAAACAGCUGAGAAUGUCAAAUGACCGAUUAACAUGGCUAACAGCUGCAUUGCUGCAACUUGCUCCUGAUCAGCAGUAUAUGUUGCCCAGUUCCUCUGCAGAUAGUGGUUUUAUUAAUAGUCCCUUGGUGGUCCUAAGUAAUACUGGUGGAAGAGAGAGACCCAGGAAAAGUAAUGUUGAGCGCGCUGCAAUGCCUAAUACUGAUAAAGGAUUGUCAACGGGUCUUAGAAUAGGAAACCUUCAAGCUGGGAGUUCUAGUGAUAUUUAUUGUAGUGGUAAGAUAAAAGUUAGUAGUACAGAUAGAAAAAGAAACACUGGUGUGGGGAUGCUUCCUGAACAGAUAUUCACAGUCUCUUCUGAUAUGAAUAGAGUAAAUGGCAGGUCAUUAUCAGGUAAAGUCCAUCUAGAAAUUGAAGAAAUUUGGUUGGAGGUACUUGGAAAGAUUCAAGUAAAUGGCCUAAAAGAGUUUAUGUACCAAGAAGGAAAGCUAGUCUCAGUCAGUUUCGGUGCAGCUCCAACUGUUCAGUUGAUGUUCAGUUCGCAUCUGACAAAAUCCAAGGCAGAGAAGUUCAGGGCGCAUAUUUUACAAGCAUUUGAGUCUGUUCUUGGGUCCCCUGUAACAAUAGAAAUCAGAUGUGAAUCAAGGAGAGAUGAAAGGGCUGGGAUUAACAUGCCACUCAUCUUACCGACUUCCCAAGAUUGUUCAUCUCAGAUCUACAUAAAGCCAGGGCUGAUGAACACUAAAAGGAUGCCUGAGGCUGGAUAUGAUGAUAUCAGAAAAGGAGUUCCGAAGGAUAGAGAUGGUUUAAAUCAGGUCCAUCUGUUGCAGUCUGACUCCAUUGGAAAGGCAAAGAAUGAAAUAGUUGAAAUUGUAGCUUCUCCCAUAGGACCAAAAGCAAAUGGGCAUGUUGAUAACAAUACACAAUAUGAUAGAAGAGAUCAUGAAAGUGGUUCUGUAGGAGACGCAACAUGCUCACCUAAGAAAUCUGCUUUGGUUUCUCUCCCAGAACGAAGGAAAUUAGGGGACCGUAAUCAGAGUCAGAGCCUAGUGAGAAGCAAGGUGUCCCUUGCACAUGUCAUUCAACAGGCGGAAGGAUGCACACAGCUAAAUGGAUGGUCGAAACGCAAAGCAGUAUCUAUUGCUGAAAAGCUUGAACAAGAGAAUCUGAGACUGGAGCCCAGAUCGAGAAGCCUGCUUUGCUGGAAGGCUUCUAGAGUGACUCGUCGGAAGCUUUCACGUUUGAAAACUAGAACAAGGAAACCACAUACUUUACUGAAAAUCGUCUCCUGUGGAAAGUGUUUCUCCGCCAAGUCUCCAAGGUGAUACAAGAAUACAUAUUGGAUUCCUCAGAGGAGCUUGGCACAGACCUCAUUUGGAUUAAUUAUUUGUAUUUAUUCAUCUUCAUGAUGCUUACAAGAUCUUUUUGUUUUAAGGUCUUUCACCCUUCAAAAUUAUUGCAUCCUUCCAUUACUCGUUGUGGUCGUAGUCUAUGGUGUGUAUCAUGCUUUUCUUUUUUUAGAACAAAGUUACAGAACCGCGACAAGUGCAGAACACCAGUUUGGUUUCUUCAAACUUGCCUGCUGAAAGAGCUACAAUUUCCUCCAGAGAAAGCUCAGAGGCUCUAUUAUGGUGAGUUCAUAAGAAAAGAUUAGUGUGAUAGUCCAAGUUACAUCCUUUAUCAUCGUUGCCACUAUGAUUUAGUCUUUGAAAAAUGAAUCUUGGACAUGUAGAAUGUAUUUAUCCUUUGGUUAUGUUUUUUGGUUGAUUGGUGGACAUGAGAAGUCGUUUUUAUAGUAGUGCUUCUAAAACACGUCGAUUCCAAUGCAUGCAUGAAGAUACGAGUUUUGCUUUCAACAGCAAAAAUAGCAUUUCCAAAAUGUUUACUGAACUAUGGUGGAGAGAGAUGAAUGUUCUUUCCGCGAAAAACAAAUUAUUUUCAUUGAGUCAAGAGUGGUUAUUGUUUA